CAACUCUCAAAGUGGUUGUGAAAUGUUUACGUAUUAAUGUUCAUAUCACAGCCAGCUUUGAUGAGCUGAA
rnacentral:pre_miRNA from 1 species